rnacentral:tRNA from 1 species
GGUGGUGUAGCUCUGGGGUAGAGGGCUCGCUUCGCAUGCGAAUGUUCUGGGGUUGCAUUCCCCAUGUCACCG